CCCGUUGAAACAUAAGUUCUCGUUAUGAUCACAGAAGUUAAGCAACUUCGAGCCUAGUCAUUACCAAGAUGGGUGACCGCUUGGGAAUACCAGGUGCUGUAAG